rnacentral:lncRNA from 1 species
CCUCCCAAGUCCAAUUUUAUUCAUUUUUACCUCACUUUAUUAUACACCCUUACCCACGUGAUUAUACCCUCCAUAAAAUGACAAAAAUAACAACCCUUAACAAAUUUUAUCUUGUUUGGAUCCUAUCCUAACAAACUUUAUCCUUACACCUCACCUACCCUACCUCUACCCCACCUACCCUACCUCACUACCCCACCCUCACCUCACUGGAUA